UAUGGGGGGGGCAAGCGUUGUUCGGAAUUACUGGGCGUAAAGGGCUCGUAGGCGGCCAACUAAGUCGGAUGUGAAAUCCCCAGGCUUAACCUGGGAACUGCAUCCGAUACUGGAUGGCUUGAAUCCGGGAGAGGGAUGCAGAAUUCCAGGUGUAGCGGUGAAAUGCGUAGAUAUCUGGAGGAAUACCGGUGGCGAAGGCGGCAUCCUGGACCGGCAUUGACGCUGAUGAGCGAAAGCUAGGGGAGCAAACGGG
rnacentral:rRNA from 1 species